rnacentral:rRNA from 1 species
CCCGCAGCUCAAGUGGUGGUCAUUAUUAUUGGGCCUAAAGCGUCCGUAGCUGGCUUGUUAGAUGCCUGGGUAAGUCGAUGCGCUUAACGUAUCGAAUUCCGGGUAGACCGGCAAGCUCGAGACCGGGAGAGGUGUAGGCUACUCGCGGGGUAGGGGUAAAAUCCUGUAAUCCUGCGGGGAGGACCAGUGGCGAAGGCGCUACACUAGAACGGCUCUGACAGUGAGGGACGAAGCCCUGGGGCGCAAACCGGAUUAGAUACCCGGGUAGUCCAGGGUGUAAACGCUGCAGACUUGGUGUCGCUGAUCCUACGAGGGUUGGCGGUGCCGUAGAGAAGUUGUUUAGUCUGCCGCCUGGGGAGUACGGUCGCAAGACUG